GCGCACGUGGCGGAAUUGGUAGACGCGUUAGGUUGAGGGCCUAAUAAUCAUUAUGAUUGUGGAAGUUCGAGUCUUCUCGUGCGCAC
rnacentral:tRNA from 1 species